rnacentral:tRNA from 1 species
CAAAAAAUAGUUUAAUUUAAAAUAAUAAUUUUGGAGAUUAUUGAUAGAUGUUUAUUUUUUUUUGA